UACGUAGGGUGCGAGCGUUGCCCGGAUUUAUUGGGCGUAAAGGGCGCGUAGGCGGCCACGCACGUCCGUUGUGAAAUCGCCCGGCUCAACUGGGCGGGGUCGGCGGAUACGGCGUGGCUGGAGCAAGCUAGGGGGCAAUGGAAUUCCCGGUGUAGUGGUGGAAUGCGUAGAUAUCGGGAGGAACACCAGUGGCGAAGGCGGUUGCCUGAAGCUUUGCUGACGCUAAGGCGCGAAAGCGUGGGGAGCGAUCCGG
rnacentral:rRNA from 1 species